rnacentral:lncRNA from 1 species
GUUGAAUAUUCUUGGUAAUAUGAAAAUCUUAUUUGUUUUGGUAAUUUUGAAGAUUUGGGUAAUAUUUUGUCAACUAUUGAUGUGGAUAGUUAUAAACUCAUUUGGAGUACCAAUGUAAAUAUACUUGCUUAAUAUAUUCAUCCACUAACAGUGAUAUAUAUGAUUAUCAAUUAUAAUAUGCCCACCUCUGUGUCAGCAUUUCCUUAUAUAUGAACACAAUAUUAAAAUUCAUUCCUAGAGGGAAGAAAAUGGGAAAACAUGAUUAUUCCUUCAACAACUUUUAAUUGAGCACCUACUUUUUUUCAAGCCAGGUAUAUGUUUAUGCCAAGUAUUAGGAUAUCUGCUAAAAUGUAGCAGUUAACAAACACAGAAGCAUUCUACUCCUGGGGAGCACACAUUCUAGUUUGGAGAGAUUGAAAACAGCAAAACAAUAAAAAGUUAAAGCAUAGAGUGCAUUACAUGUUGCUAUGGUAACUAGAAAAUUAGAGCAGAAAACAGGGAAUGGAAAUUUAAGUAGAAGACCAGAGAAGUCUUCAGAAAGGGGCAUUUGAGUAAAAUAUAAAGUAUGGGUUGAGUUUAGGGCAAGGUUUUAAUGAUGAUAAUGAUUUACAUGAGUACAAUGGCUUCAGUCAUAAUGAUUAUGGAAAUGGGAAUGUAGU